AAACCAACAGGGAUUGCCCUAGUAACGGCGAGUGAAGCGGCAACAGCUCAAAUUUGAAAUCUGGCGCAAGCCCGAGUUGUAAUUUGUAGAGGAUGCUUCUAGGCAGCGGCCGGUCUAAGUUCCUUGGAACAGGACGUCAUAGAGGGUGAGAAUCCCGUAUGUGACCGGUUGGCACCUAAUACGUAGCUCCUUCGACGAGUCGAGUAGUUUGGGAAUGCUGCUCUAAAUGGGAGGUAAAUUUCUUCUAAAGCUAAAUACCGGCCAGAGACCGAUAGCGCACAAGUAGAGUGAUCGAAAGAUGAAAAGCACUUUGGAAAGAGAGUUAAAAAGCACGUGAAAUUGUUGAAAGGGAAGCGCAUGCAACCAGACUUGUCGGCGGUGUUCCGCCGGUCUUCUGACCGGUCUAUUCGCCGUCGGCAGGCCAGCAUCACUUGGGGCCGCCAGAUAAAGGCCCGGGAAUGUAGCUCCUCGGAGUGUUAUAGCCCGGCGCACAAUAUGGCGCGUCCCGAGUGAGGUCCGCGCUUCGGCUAGGAUGCUGGCGUAAUGGUUGUUUGCGGC
rnacentral:rRNA from 1 species